CGAUUACGGCUCAGUAACACGUAGCUAACCUACCUUUAGGACGUGGAUACCCCCGAGAAAUUGGGGUUAAUCCGCGAUAGAUGUAAUGUCCUGGAAUGGUAUUACGUCUAAAGGUAUUUCAUACAUGUUUGAAAUAUGCCUAGGGAUGGGGCUGCGGCCGAUCAGGCUGUUGGUGAGGUAAUGGCUCACCAAACCUUUGACCGGUACGGGCCAUGAGAGUGGUAGCCCGGAGAUGGACACUGAGACAAGGGUCCAGGCCCUAAGGGGCGCAGCAACCGCGAAACCUCCACAAUGCACUCACGUGCGAUGGGGCUAUCUCGAGUGCCACCUGAUGAAGGUGGCUUUUCCUUGGUCUUCAAAGCCGUGGGAAUAAGAGGGGGGCAAGACUGGUGUCAGCCGCCGCGGUAACACCAGCCCCUCGGGUGGUGGGGAUGAUUAUUUGGCCUAAAGCGUCCGUAGCCGGCCGAGCAAGUCUUCCGUUAAAUCCAGCGUCUCAAGCGUUGGACCGCGGGAGAUACUACACGGCUAGAGAGUGGGAGAGGUCAGCGGUAUUCUGGGGGUAGGGGCGAAAUCCUUUGAUCCCCGGAGGACCACCAGUGGCGAAGGCUG
rnacentral:rRNA from 1 species